AGCGAACGCUGGCGGCAUGCCUAACACAUGCAAGUCGAACGAACUCUUCGGAGUUAGUGGCGGACGGGUGAGUAACACGUGGGAACGUGCCCUUUGGUUCGGAAUAACUCAGGGAAACUUGUGCUAAUACCAAAUGUGCCCUUCGGGGGAAAGAUUUAUCGCGAUUAGAUCGGCGCGCGUCUGAUUAGCUAGUUGGGGAUGUAACAGCUCACCAAGGCGAGGAUCAGUAGCUGGUCUGUGAGGAUGACCAGCCACACUGGGACUGAGACACGGCCCAGAGUCCUACGGGAGGCAGCAGUGGGGAAUCCUGCGGAAUGGGCGAAAGCGUGACGAAGCCAUGCCGCGUGAAUGAUGAAGGUCUUAGGAUUGUAAAAUUCUUUCACCGGGGACGAUAAUGACGGUACCCGGAGAAGAAGCCCCGGCUAACUUCGUG
rnacentral:rRNA from 1 species